rfam:Oryza glumipatula chromosome 11, whole genome shotgun sequence.
AAUAGAUGACGCCGUUGACUUUUUCUCACAUGUUUGACCAUUCGUCUUAUUUAAAAAAUUUACGUAAUUAUAAUUUAUUUUCUUAUGAGUUGUUUUAUUACUCAUAGUACUUUAUGUGUGAUAUAUAUCUUAUAUAUUUGCAAAAAAAAUUUGAAUAAGACGAAUGGUCAAACAUGUGAGAAAAAGUCAACGGCGUCAUCUGUU